CAGUUCAAUGGAUGCUACCAA
rnacentral:siRNA from 1 species